UACAGAGGUCUCAAGCGUUGUUCGGAUUCAUUGGGCGUAAAGGGUGCGUAGGCGGCGCGGUAAGUCGGGUGUGAAAUCUCGGAGCUUAACUCCGAAACUGCAUUCGAUACUGCCGUGCUUGAGGACUGGAGAGGAGACUGGAAUUCACGGUGUAGCAGUGAAAUGCGUAGAUAUCGUGGGGAAGACCAGUGGCGAAGGCGGGUCUCUGGACAGUUCCUGACACUGAGGCACGAAGGCCAGGGGAGCAAAACGGG
rnacentral:rRNA from 1 species